rnacentral:lncRNA from 1 species
UCCCCACCUCUCUCCCCUAGUUCCUCGUACAUGCGACCGAACGCCGCGUUUUUAGCUUCCGUGACUGCCAUCUUAGCUUCUCUUCUCGCCUCCCUGUAAACCAACCUGUUCGCUCUCCGCUCCUCCUCGCUCGUGCUCCCUGCCAACCUAGCGAACGCCGCCUUCUUCACCUCCACUUUUCCUUUGACUACCCCGUUCCACCACCACUCACCCUGAUGUCUGCCUGAAUAUCCCUUAGUUACCCCGAGCACGUCCCGUGCAGCCCCCCUAACCAAGUUCGCCGUCACUGUCCACAUGGCGUCCGCUUCCCCAUAACUACUCCAAGCUCCGCCCUCCACUAACCUCUUCUCCAACUCCUGUGCAUUCUCCUUAGACAAAGCUCCCCAUCUAAUCCGCGG